UUUUUGCAUAUCAAAAGCGGAGGAAAAGAAACCAACAGGGAUUGCCCUAGUAACGGCGAGUGAAGCGGCAACAGCUCAAAUUUGAAAUCUGGCCUCUUUUGGGGUCCGAGUUGUAAUUUGCAGAGGGCGCUUUGGAGUCGGCAGCGGUCCAAGUUCCUUGGAACAGGACGUCACAGAGGGUGAGAAUCCCGUACGUGGUCGCUAGCCUUCUCCGUGUAAAGCCCCUUCGACGAGUCGAGUUGUUUGGGAAUGCAGCUCUAAAUGGGAGGUAAAUUUCUUCUAAAGCUAAAUAUUGGCCAGAGACCGAUAGCGCACAAGUAGAGUGAUCGAAAGAUGAAAAGCACUUUGGAAAGAGAGUCAAAAAGCACGUGAAAUUGUUGAAAGGGAAGCGCUUGCAGCCAGACUUGCCUGUAGUUGCUCAUCCGGGCUUUUGCCCGGUGCACUCUUCUAUAGGCAGGCCAGCAUCAGUUUGGGCGGUUGGAUAAAGGUCUCUGUCAUGUACCUCUCUUCGGGGAGAACUUAUAGGGGAGACGCCAUGCAACCAGCUCAGACUGAGGUCCGCGCAUUCGCUAGGAUGCGGCGAAAAGAUCCCCGG
rnacentral:rRNA from 1 species